AGUCGAACGGCAGCACGGACUUCGGUCUGGUGGCGAGUGGCGAACGGGUGAGUAAUGUAUCGGAAAUCGCUCAGUAGCGGGGAUAACUACGCGAAAGCGUAGCUAAUACCGCAUACCGCCCUCGGGGAAAGCGGGACCUUCGGGCCUCGCACUAUUAGAGCGGCCGAUAUCGGGAUUAGCUGGGGUUAGUGGGGUAACGGCUCACCGGGGCGACGAUCCGUAGCUGGUUUGAGAGGACGACCAGCCACACUGGGACUGAGACAUCGCCCAGACUCCGGCAUGGAGUGCAGUGGGGAAUUUUGGACAAUGGGGAAACCCUGAUCCAGCCAUCCCGCGUGUGUGCGAUGAAGGCCUUCGGGUUGUAAAGCACUUUUGCAGGAGGAAGAAACGGCACGGGAUAAUACCCCGUGCAACUGACGGUACCUGCAGAAUAAGCACCGCUAACCAGCCGCGCCAGCAGCCGCGGUAAUACGUAGGGUGCAAGCGUUAAUCGGAAUUACUGGGCGCAAAGUGUGCGCAGGCGGUUCGGAAAGAAAGAUGCGAAAUCCUCAGAGUUUAACUUUGGAACUGGCAUUUUUAAUUACCGAGCUAGAGUGGUUGUGAGGAGGUGGAAUUUCGCGUGUAGCAGUGAAAUGCGUAGAUAUGCGGAGGAACACCGAUGGCGAAGGCAGCCUCCUGGGAUAACACUGACGCUCAUGCACGAAAGCGUGGGGAGCAAACAGGAUUAGAUACCCUAGUCCACGCCCUAAACGAUGUCAACGGCUGUUGGGGCCUUCGGGCUCCUGGUAGCGCAGCUAACGCGUGAAGUUGACCGCCUGGGGAGUACGGUCGCAAGAUUAAAACUCAAAGAACGACGGGGACUCCGCACAAGCGGUGGAUGAUGUGGAUUAAUUCGAUGCAACGCGAAAAACCUUACCUACCCUUGACAUGUCUGGAAUCCCGAAGAGAUUUGGGAGUGCUCGCAAGAGAACCGGAACACAGGUGCUGCAUGGCUGUCGUCAGCUCGUGUCGUGAGAUGUUGGGUUAAGUCCCGCAACGAGCGCAACCUGUCAUUAGUUGCUACGAAAGGGCACUCUGGAAUGAGACUGCCGGGUGACAAACCGGAGGAAGGUGGGGAUGACGUCAAGUCCUCAUGGCCCUUAUGGGUAGGGCUUCACACGUCAUACAAUGGUCGGGACAGAGGUCGCCAACCCGCGAGGGGGAGCCAAUCCCAGAAACCCGAUCGUAGUCCGAUCGCAGUCUGCAACUCGACUGCGUGAAGUCGGAAUCGCUAGUAAUCGCGGAUCAGCAUGUCAGUAAUACGUUCCCGGGGUCUUGUACACACCGCCCGUCACACCAUGGGAGUGGGUUUUACCAGAAGUAGUUAGCCUAACCGUAAGGAGGCGAUUACCACGGUAGGAUUCAUGAAUCGUGAAGUCGUAACAAGGUA
rnacentral:rRNA from 1 species